CAUAAAAUAAGCCUCUGAGGAGCUUGCAGUGGCUUGGCUGCAGUGGUCUGGUGCUUCUCCAUUUUCUUUUUUUUUUGUCUAUUCUGUGUAGUCCCCAGUGUUCAUUCUGAGAAAGACAGCAAGGUUCUGCUGGAAGCUCCAUCAGUAGCUCCAAUGAUUACAAGAAUAGAGAGUCCAAGUCCUUUUUCAGUCUUCGAAAGCUGGCAACCUCCUAUAUUUAUGAAUAGACCACUAACUGGUUAUGUACUUCAUCUCUGGAAUGAAAGCAAGACAUUCAUUAGGGAAGUUAAUGAGAAACAACUAUACCAUUUUCUUUACAACACCAGAUACAGCAUACAGAUUUCCAGUAGCUGUAAGAAAUGCAGAAGGAAUUGGGCCAACAACUAUCACAAACAUCACUACACAGCCAAACAGAGAACAAUCCACAAAUGCUAUCUUGUGGUUGUCACAGAAAAAUUAUCUCUACCAAAGUGA
rnacentral:lncRNA from 1 species